UGGGGAAUAUUGCACAAUGGGCGCAAGCCUGAUGCAGCCAUGCCGCGUGUGUGAAGAAGGCCUUCGGGUUGUAAAGCACUUUCAGCGGGGAGGAAGGCGUUAAGGUUAAUAACCUUGGCGAUUGACGUUACCCGCAGAAGAAGCACCGGCUAACUCCGUGCCAGCAGCCGCGGUAAUACGGAGGGUGCAAGCGUUAAUCGGAAUUACUGGGCGUAAAGCGCACGCAGGCGGUCUGUCAAGUCGGAUGUGAAAUCCCCGGGCUCAACCUGGGAACUGCAUUCGAAACUGGCAGGCUAGAGUCUUGUAGAGGGGGGUAGAAUUCCAGGUGUAGCGGUGAAAGGCGUAGAGAUCUGGAGGAAUACCGGUGGCGAAGGCGGCCCCCUGGACAAAGACUGACGCUCAGGUGCGAAAGCGUGGGGAGCAAACAGG
rnacentral:rRNA from 1 species